rnacentral:lncRNA from 1 species
UGAUUCCAAAUGGAAACUCCUUCUAUUAAUCAUACUGCUAUGGCCAUAAUAGACUUGUGGAUCUAGCUUCUCAAAUCUUAUAAGAUUAUUUCUCUCUAUCAAGUUCGAUAGAUCCCAUAUAGAUGCACACGUAACUUACACAGCUCAACUAACUGAAGCCAACAUUCACUAUAAAAACUCAUAAUCAAGUUAUUGUUUAUGUGUAGUCAAACUACAGCAGUCUUAUUGUAAGUAACUAUGACACCGU